UUGUAAAAGUGUGUAUAUUCAUUGAUUCAAAACUUGAAGGAAGUGACUCGGUUAAAUUCUUACGUUAGGGUUUUUCGGGACAGCCAUAGGGGAAGGACUGUGGCAUCUUCAUGUUGAUGGUAGGUGAGUUUAACUGUCCAAUUUUGUCCUCUGUUAUAUUUGUAUUCAUUUAUCCAUUUGUAGUAUGCUCUUUGCACUGUUCUGGAUGCUCUCUUUGAGUUUAACCAUUGUAAAAUGAAGUUCACCGAAUCAUUCAAAUUGGGCUACAAAAUAUCCUUGUCGUUAUUCUUUAUUUACACUUGUUUUUAAUUUUUGUUAGACUGAUAUGCCAACUCUGAGGAAGUGGUGGUGUAUAUUGCUAGUGGACAAUUUCAAACUUGGGUGCAUGGUGAGCCACAGGAAAGAGUUUGCCCAUUGGACAGACAAGGCAAAAGCAUUACUGCAGGGUGAAGUGCCACCAGUCUAUCAGCUACAGAAGUGAAAUUUGAAUAUAAUUGCUGAGGAAGAGGUGCAACCACAGCUCCUUCAAGUUAGUGGUGGCCCACUCCAAAAAGAUACGGCGGGAAAAAAUGUUUUGGUAAAAGGAUUGUGCCAGACAGCACAAAAGCCUCGGACAGGGCUGGGGGGGGGUCAAUGCAGUAGGAGUUCCCAAGCAUCCUGCAGAUGGAAGAGGAUGAGCACGAACUACAAUGUCUUGGAGCCAUUCAAGUUCUGUUUCAACCAUCUGGAAGAUGGAUUUACCUUUUUUGAGGAGAUUGUUGAUCAAAGAAAAUAUCUGGUAUUCUCUCAAUAAUAAUAAAAAAAUAAUAAAACUAAAAAAAUAAAGUUUACCACAUUAGAACUGGUUGUAUUGAGUUCAUUUUU